GGAUUUUCCCAUUCUCUGUCAAACGUGCUUGGGAGAAAACCCUUACAUCCGGAUGACCAAAGAGAAAUUUGGCAAGGAGUGCAAGAUCUGUGCACGUCCCUUCACGGUCUUCCGCUGGUGUCCUGGGGUCAGGAUGCGCUUUAAGAAGACAGAAGUGUGUCAGACCUGCAGUAAAAUGAAGAAUGUCUGUCAAACCUGCCUACUGGAUCUGGAA